GUGAAAAGGGAGAGAGAGAGGCACAGAGCAAGCUGCUGUAGGCUAUAGGGAGCGGAGGCCGUGCAGGGUGUGUGUGAGCCUUGGAACAGCAGAGCAGGCACUGAGAGACAGCAGGCAUAGAGAAAGAGACCGCAAACCCUGUUAACUCGCGCUAGACUAACUUCUUGCUAGUUAUUUAUCAUCCCAUCCGAUUAUAUAGUACCUGUCUUUACUGCAUCGACCUGAGAGAAGUUAGCUAACUAGGCUAAUUCUAAAGUUAGCCUACACAUAAUGACUGUGUUCAGAUCAUAGCCUAAAUAGCAUUCUUUGCAUUAGCAGCUUGUAUGCAUGGAAGCCUGGAGAUGCUAAACAUGUUUAUGUUACUUAACGGUCAAUUACCGUGAAACUGGCAAUUACUCAAUCACAAAAUACAGAGGGUGUAAAUCAGAGAUUACUUGCUAUAUACCAACUUUACCAAGCAAAUGAUAAAUUGUGUCAUCUUAGAAGUAUAUUAAGAAAUGCCUUUGGUUUUUGUAUUUGCAGGCCAUCCGCUAUGACAACCAUGCCUGUACUGCCUGUGUCAGAUGCUGAGGAAUUAGGUGGAGUGUCCACUGGGGAAGCAACUAAAGUUUGCCCAAACAAAGAGAUCUGGCACACGCCUUUUGAAUCAUGAUGUCCGAGAACUUGAACUGUGAAUUCCAGUUAAUUUCCAAUUAAAUUGAGGGCUAUGGGCUGCAGGAAUACCACAAGAACUCCCAGGCAGAACUACUAGCCAGAAAGGAAGCCAUCCAAACCAACCUUAAUCACCUGGACCACCCUGUCCUAGACAGUGAUGUCGCCACAAUGUGUGUGAAAUUUGAAAGGGGGGAGUACCCUGGUGAGUUUAGCCCUAAGAUGUUCCCGGUAGAGUGGAGCCGCAAGAAGAAACUGGCGCAACCACGAUAUGAGAUGGGUGAAGUCAAAGAAAAAUGCAGAACAGGCUGCUGCUAUAGUAUGUC
ensembl:lncRNA